rnacentral:rRNA from 1 species
AACGUAGGUGGCGAGCGUUGUCCGGAAUUACUGGGUGUAAAGGGAGCGCAGGCGGGACAGCAAGUUGAAUGUGUAAUUUAUGGGCUCAACCCAUAAACUGCGUUCAAAACUGUUGUUCUUGAGUGAUGUAGAGGUAGGCGGAAUUCCCGGUGUAGCGGUGGAAUGCGUAGAUAUCGGGAGGAACACCAGUGGCGAAGGCGGCCUACUGGGCAUCAACUGACGCUGAGGCUCGAAAGUAUGGGGAGCAAACAGG